rfam:Phoenicopterus ruber ruber contig84400, whole genome shotgun sequence.
GUUGGUUAUGGGGAUAUGAAACCCAUAACUGUGGGUGGGAAGAUAGUUGGGUCCCUGUGUGCCAUUGCGGGAGUGUUAACCAUUGCUUUACCAGUGCCAGUGAUUGUCUCCAAU